ensembl:lncRNA
GUCUGCCUGGUCUACAGCGUGGUCUACAGACAUAGGUCUGCCUGGUCUACAGCGUGGUCUACAGACAUAGGUCUGCCUGGUCUACAGCGUGGUCUACAGACAUAGGUCUGCCUGGUCUACAGCGUGGUCUACAGACAUAGGUCUGCCUGGUCUACAGCGUGGUCUAUAGGUCUACAGACAUAGGUCUGCCUGGUCAUCAGCUAGGUCUACAGCGUGGUCUAUAGGUCUACAGACAUAGGUCUGCCUGGUCUACAGCCUGAUCUACAGCGUGGUCUAUAGGUCUACAGACAUAGGUCUGCCUGGUCAACAGCGUGGUCUAUAGCGUGGUCUAUAGGUCUAUAGACAUAGGUCUGCCUGGUCUACAGCGUGGUCUAUAGCAAUGUCUAUAGGUCUAUAGACAUAGGUCUGCCUGGUCAACAGCUAGGUCUAUAGCAUGGUCUAUAGGGUAUAUUGAUAUACAUAUUGAUCUAUAGAAUCCAAAGGUCCAUCGAGUAGUG